UACGUAGGUGGCAAGCGUUGUCCGGAUUUUAUUGGGUUUAAAGGGUGCGUAGGCGGUGUCCUAAGUCAGUUGUGAAAUACGGCAGCUUAACUGUCGAGGUGCAAUUGAUACUGGGACACUUUGAGUACUGAUGAGGUAUGCGGAAUGGACGGUGUAGCGGUGAAAUGCUUAGAUAUCGUCCAGAACACCGAUUGCGAAGGCAGCUCACAAAACUGUAACUGACACUGAGGCUCGAAAGUGCGGGGAUCAAACAGG
rnacentral:rRNA from 1 species